ensembl:lncRNA
CCGGGUCCCGCUGCGGAAGGUGCACGUCGGGAAAGCUCUGCCGGAGCUCUGCCCCUCCCGCACACACGUGCGGACCCCCGGUGCUGCGCGGUCGGGCGGUGGGGGUGGAUCGCAACGGAGGGUUUGUUCGGUUUGGAGAUGUUCGAGCAGGGUAGCAGCCCGUCUGCGGCUCAGCUGCGAGGCAGAGGGUGUUUGGAAAGUGCGUUUGAGAUGUCUGUAAAGUUUGAGGGCUCCUUUACAGAGAGCUGGCGGGGGCUUCUGCUGGUCGGUUUGGUUUACACAUGGGCUUAAAGUCGGGAGAAAAUCGGGAAAGUAAGGAGAAGGCAGCGCACGGGGUAAUGCUGCAGCAGGGCAGAUGGAUGUAAUUCAUUUGCAGAUCUGUCUGUGGAAGUUUCACAAGUCAUUGCAAACUAAGUAGCAUCCCUAGAACGGAUCAUUAAAGUCUCACUGUACAGAUUCUGAAUGAAUGACCUAAAGUGUUAGUUAAACGGGAAGCCCAGCAACUGAGGCGAGAAGUCAGAAAUGCUAUCCCUGGACUGUGUCAACUUUUAGAGUGUUAGGAUGCUCUCGUUGUUUUACUCUGAGGAUGGUCUGUUUGCCUUUUAAGAUAAAUCAUUUACUGUGUCUGUGUCUUCCUGUGCAGAGUAACAACCUGAUUUGUUUCUUCGCACUGUAACAGAUCUUCACACUGACUUGCCCAUACCUGUGUGCCUAUGAGUUACUGGCCUCCUGCUCGUGAAGGAAAUCUCACACUCUCCUCACCGCUUACAGGUGAGAUGUUCUAUAAAUAAUGCUGUAUAUAAUGUGUGCUGAAAUGAGAUCUGUGUAGUAGGCUGAGCAAGGGGAUUUAUAGCUGGUGCUUUGGGAUUUUGGCAUUCAGCUGUGUAGCGAUGCCCAUAAAACCAUGUUUCAAGCUGCACAUAGAGUUUUGUCUCAAAUCAACUUUUUCUCUUGGGCCCCUUUACAGAUUGGUCUUAGCCUGUAUAUUCAGAUACACUCUUCAGUAAGAGUAGACACAGAAGGCACCCACAGAAGUUCCAAAGAGUAAGUUAAAUCCUUAAUGAGGCCGCAUGACUAGAUCAAUGCUUAUGUGAAAAAAAAAAAAAACCUGACCAUUUUGAUUUUUUUCUCAGUCUACUCUUUAUCACUGGAAAAAGUGAUGGAAACUUUACAAGUUUCCAAAAAAAAAAAAAAAAAAAAGCAAAACCAACCAACCAAGCCCCCCUCUCUGUGACUCUGUGACUCUGCAUUACAGCCUUUUAUGCCAUGUGCAUUGAAUUUCUCCUUUUCCCCCUUCCCAGCCUGUCUGUGAGAAGCCCAUAAGCCAGCUGCAGCAUGCAGAGCUUCAGCCAUCCAAGCAGGAUAAGGUGCAGCACUGCAGUGCUGUGAGACGUUCAGUCUGUGCUGUCACAGCCCUCUCUGUGGACACUGUUAGGCCAUAGAUCACAUCAUCUAUAAGAAAACAUAUUUUUUUUCCAGAAACUGAGUCUCUAACUGCACGUGCCCAUCAUGUAAUUGUUUCAAUAGGAAAAAAAGCCCCAGCAACUAAGUUUUUCUAGCGCUGCCAGAAAAUCCUACUGAACUAGGAACAGCAAAUCAUGUUUUUCCUUCCUUUAUAAUGAUGGGGCUGUUUAGAAGACAAUGCCCACAGGGCAGUCCAGCUUCUUGUCAAAAUGUAAUCUACUGUUCCAGAUGGUAAACAUUCAAAGACAUAUUUAUGGUGACUUCUACAUACCUGCCUUUGACAUUGGCUUUUUUUUUCUUCCCUGAGAACACUUGUGCUGGGUACACACAUGAAGUUCCCAUUAGCAUCCCAGCAGCUGUAAAAGUGUUCAGAACUCUCAGAGAUGUUCCUCACGGUGAGAUAAAAGUAAUCUGAGGGAGAGAUCUGAGACCGGUGCGACUUUCGGAGAUCCGUGAUACGCUCAAGGUUAGAAAUUCCAGGGGAACAAAAAGAUCCAUAAGCCACUGUAUGAAAGCUGUAAGAUGUUCUUGUUGCGGCUAAUUCAUCUCUGUUUGAUAGGGAAUGCUGAGCAUACCAGGCAUGUCUGUACUAUCAACUGCGUUUGUGAUGUGAGGGAAUCUGCACCGCACAAAAUGUGGUGGGUUUGUUUUUCCCCCAGAUUUCCCCUCUGCUCCCACAUAGUGGAAUGGCAGCAUCAUAGAAUGGCUGAGGUUGGGGGGGACCUUAAAGAUCAUGGAGCUCCAGUCCCCUGCUGUGGGCAUUGAUGACUGGAUUGGUACUGAUCAUCUUCAUAGAAAUGUUUAAGUGACACCCUUUUUUUCCUCACUGCUCUGAACAGCAAGACAGACCCAAGAAAACGUUUUCCAGUCUGAGUGUGUUCUGCCCUGAAUUGUCUUAAUUAUGUGUCAGUUUAUUGCUUGUCAGGAGCUUCCUCUUCUUAGCACGUUAUAAUCAAGGUGGGUGAGCUUGUUCCAUCGUAUUGCACGACUUCAGUUUCUCCUGCUUGGCGUGGCUUUUUGGCUUUCCAUUGAAUUAUUCGCAGUUUCAGAGGAAAAAAAAGUAAUUAUGAUUGGUGUAAUAUAACCUUAAAAAAAACAAAAUUGGUAAGUUUCCAAAUGGCAUGUAAAUACAUCUUCAGCAAGUAGGCUAGAUGAGAGGUCAUUAGGGAAAAAUGUGUGUAGGGAGCUUGAAGUGUCCCAGAGAUGGCAAGGAUCAGUGUGAAAAUGAUAGUAAUUGGAAGUGAUAAAAACAGUUUGUUAAAAAUGCUGUGAUGUGAGGGACAGCAUUUCCAAAUGUGGAAGACUUAGAAAAGCCCAACUCAGUGGAAAUUGGAUAGAGAUGGAAAAAAUUGUUCUGAAAGAUUUGCAAAUUCUGUUCUGCCGAGGUCACUUUGUUGCAGCCUAUUUGCUGGUUUGCAGUUUAUUAUCUAGCUUUGUUUAACCUGCAUGCCUCAUGUGGUGUUAGGUGUUGGUUCGUGCAGUUUGAGCUCUGUGUAACGACAGGCUCACCCGCAUCCAGGAAGGCCAGACGUUGGGCUGGGUGUGAUGAGAGUACUGGGUUCCAUGAUUUCCUCCACUUUAGAAAGGGCUUUGGGGAUUUGUGUUUGAGUGGGAAGGCAGACUGAUGUGAUAACAAUUGAGAAAGCGUUUUUCUGAGUGCCCUGAGAGCCGCAGCCUUCGACAGAGAAGGGGGUCCCGUGACAGCUCUGCGGUGACACAGACAGAAUCCAAUUAGUGGCCACUCCUGCUGGUGAUACAAGAUUGCUCCUAAAAAUUUUCCGCCAUUGCCACCCUCAUUGUAAUCCCAUCCACAAUACCGAUAAUGGGAUCACGAGUGUGUUUUCGGAAGGCCUGUUUAAAUUUUAACCACUAUCUGAGGAGGUUUUGAGGAUGUGAGAUUAAAGGCACUGAAUGGCACAGCUCACACAAUGCUACGUGACGUGCAUGUCACCCCGCAGCCGCUUCUCCUGUGAUGUAUUUUCUCAGCACCUCUAACACAGAGCUACAGAAUUGGGUGUCAGGGGUGGAUGUACGUGGUGAGUAUUCCAUUGGGUCAUACUGUCUCUGAACUGCAGUUACCUAUGGACCUCCGCAGGCAUGGAAUGCAGCAGGAGAUGGGAGAUGACACCAUCCCCUUCUGCUGUGCCCCUGCAGUGGCAACAAGUCAGCUUGUUUCUUCCUUAAACAAGUCCUAAACCAUCAUUCUCUGCCUUCGCAGCUGGACAGCAACCUAAUAUUUGCUUUCCUACUGCUUUUUUUUUUUAUCUUUCACUUUUUUUGCAGUAACACAAAUGCCUAUCUAGACUUUCCCUACAUCCACUCUUUCCAUAUGAUCAGAGUCACUCUCUGGUUGGUCUUGCCAAGCAGUGCACAGCAGAUGCUAUUGGAUGCUUGUAGGACACCCUAAAAUGGAACAACUCCUAAUGCCUCCACCAGUGUUACCUCAGAGUGCAGCACAGUAAUGUAUGAAUUGCCAAACCAGACAGCUUUUAGCCUAUAGCAGAAUCAUUUUAACGUGUUUUAGGUUUGUAAGUGUAAUCUUUUUGAGAGCCUCUCUAAGGUCUUUCCCUGUUAAGACAAAUUCCUUUUAAACUUUUGAUGUCAUAAGACCUUUAUUUUCUGAGAAAAGUAGUAUUCAACUCACCUUCUGGUUUGUGCAGAGCACACAGCCGUUUUGGUAUCAGUUAUUUCCCAGAACUUUAAUUUCCCUUUUCAGAACCUGUUUAAAAGCUUUGGUAAAGUCUUUCUUGCUGUGAGUGCUCUAUCAGUGUGGGAGCUCUGAGCCUUCUUGGCCUUAAGCCAUCACUGGUGUUUUGGUUCCAGUGAAACGUUUUGGUAACAGAUGACCUCUUUAGCCAGGAGUUCUUCACUACUUUCCUAACAUAUUGCUUUGAAUUAUUUUAUGGCAAAAAUUUGACUCAGAAUGUUAUCUUGUAAUUGUUAUUUUUCCCUACAGAGAUGGUAGUACAGGUGAAACUUCAAACUGUUCUUUUUUUUUCACCACAUUUAUCACAGACCAGUGUGAUUAUACCAUUGCUUAUUCUGGAAGAUUGCGAGAUGUGGUUCCAUGCUGUUUAGUAGAGCAGUGCUAGAUUUUCCAUAGAAUAAUUCAUGGAGAUUCUAAAUGAAAGCAAAACACUGAAAAUCAAUCAUUUCAUGUUUUGUUUAAAAAAAAUAAUCUCUCCUGAUGUUGUCUGAGAAUAAUUAUGGCAUUCCAUGUUGCCAUCUCUCUAUGAUGUGACUCUACCGCAUCCUAGCAAGGAGAGAUGCUGUUCCACAGCAGCUGUAGUUUUGUGGUGCUUCCCAGGAGGUGAAGUCUGUUUGGAAAGCCCACAGAGAAAAUGGGGAAACCUUUGGCACAAGAGUUCUGGAGAACAAAUGUAACAGGGAGCUGAAAAGAGGGAUUGUUUUUCUGAAAAGCAUCCAUAAAAACAGAACAGUGGUCUGUUCCAGUAUUGUAAUUGCAAUGCGCCAAGAUGUUCAUUAUUCUAGCGUGUGCACUGUUUUGUCUGUUUUCACUUACAAAGAGAAAAAUGUGUUACCAAGCCUAUAAAAGUCUGCAGAACUGCCAAGUCCCCUGACUUUUAUCAGUAGCCUUGUGAUAUUUAGCCUCCUUUGUAAAGCGUCAAGUGUUAGGGUCAAGAUCUUACGUGAGAAGUUCACGUCUCUCCUUUCUGAUUUUUAAAUUUAAUCCCUGUAGAUGCUGAGGAAGCUGACAUGCAUGCAGCUCCAGAAAAGCAGAAGAAACUAACGGGAAUCCCAAAUCUUGCUAUGUGAACAAAGUGGGUUUGUGUACAAUAGGCAUGGUGGUUAAAAAAAAUUACCUGAGGUUUGCUGUAAUCAAAUUCCCCUUGGUAUUUCUGAUCAUUUGUCUGAUAAUUCCCAUUUGGUACAAAGGUUUUAUUGCAGCAGAGGGCGAGGCUCCUUGACUAUGCUUGCUGCCCUGGAGAAAGUCAUCCUCAAUCCUCCCAUCCUCUGCCUGCAGGUGUGUGUUCCCUUCUCCUCCCUUGUGCCAGGUCUGGCGCCUGACUCACCACCUCAUGAGCUCACUGAAUCAUUGGGAAGCUGCUUUUGCUGCCGGUUUGGUGAGCUGAUUCAGCUCAGCAAGCAGACAAACAGCUCAACAUCCAAGCAGAAGCUGGCGGCUUGGGGUGAAGGGCAGAAACAUGGCUGCCACUUGAGGGGUGUGAGACCGUACCUGGUGACUCUCACUCUGCGUACUGGGACACUGCAUCUGACUGUGGGAGAAUGCCUGACAACAGACAUGUGCCAGCAUGGUGAUGAGCAGAAGGCUCGAUGUGCAUGCUUUUAAUGAAAGCAUAUCCAUUUUGAUUGAGAAAAGUGCUGCAGAGUGAUUCAGAAGAUAGAAAGACCCUGCUUGCUUUUUUUUGACAUUUUAAAUAGACAAAUAAUCUUUGGAGUGAAACUAAUAAGAAAUAUGGGGGGAAAAGGGUAAAUAAAUGCAAACGCUUGCCUUGCUACUGCUUUAAAAGGAUUAAUGAGAUGCUGAGGGUGGGAUCCAAUCUGCAUGGCUAGGGCAUUUGAGGUGCUUCUGAAUGUUAAAUACUUAUAAAGCAGCCACCUGAAGGCAGGCACUCUCUCUAAUCAGUGAGGAGAGUUCCUCUGAAAGGCCUUCAGGCAUUUCAGUUAGACUGAUAGGAUUUCCUUUUAGAAACCUUCAAAGACAACUACCUCUUUCCAUUGUAUGUGAAGGUAAUGGAGCUCGCCCACUUAUUUUUACCAGGAUUGCUUAGGAACUUAAGCAGGAGGGACUUCAUAUCACCUUGAGUUACUUGGUUGAUCCACAGAUGAUAUGGAUAAAUAGUGUCUGUGUUUGAACAGCCAUGAUAUAAUUCCCGCAGCAUCUCUUCAGAGUGUCUCAUACGCUUUCCACAGAAGAAAGCAUGAAGCAGGUCUCUCAUUUGGACAGCAGGAGCUGUGAAUCACUUAUAGAGUCUAUGACACUCAAUUUAGAUAAAUGAUAUUGAGUACUCCUUAACAGAAUCUGCUGUGAUAGGACAAGGGGAAGUGAUUUCAAAUUGAAAGAGGGGAGAUUCAAACUGAAGAUUUUUACAAAAGAGUAAGGCAGGUUGCCUGGAGAUGUGGUAGAUGCCCCAUCCCUGGAGACCUUGAAGGUUUGACUGGGGUGCUGAGCAACCUGAUAUAACUGUAAGUAUCCCUGUUCAUUGCAGGGGAGUUGGACUAGAUGGCUUCUAAAGGUUCCUUCCAGCUCAAAUGAUUCUAUGAUUCUAGUGGCCAUAGAAAUGGAACUCAGAACUCACCCAGGGUGUCAUCAACUUCUGUACAGGGCUAUGCUGACAACAAAAAUGCAUAGCUUUUUCUUUGUAAUCAUUUGAGUUACAGAAAAAAAAAUUUAAAAAAUCACCCACUAUUAUUACUUGAAGGAAUGACUGAAGACUGUGGAGUGGAUGAAGUUUAGGGAGACCAGAGAUGUUGCUGGGGCCUGCAAGCAUUAAAGGUAUCAUGAGGAAUAGCAGAUGGUCUUACAGGUCUUAUAUCUUUGUCUGAUGUUGGACAAAGAGUGGAAGAAAGACAAUGAAAAUCUUAAAAGGCCCCAUAUCCUGGUUUCUGGAUGUAGCUAUGCUAACUCUUUUGAGGGUUACCACCCACUGGCUUGGCUGCUGUAAGGCAUACCAGUCACAAAUUAGAGAACAGUAGUGCAAUAAUAAACAGAACAUGCUGUAAAUAUUCAGCACAGGAUACCUUUUAACUAUUGCUUUUUCCGACGUCUGCAGAAGUUCUAAUGAAAGCAGAUUUUAAAAUAGUAUUUGGGUUUUGGUAACUUGCUAGUGAUAAGAAAGUAUGCAUUAAGUCAAUCUACUUAGCCAUUUUUAGCAAAAAUUCCCCCAGUGUCAUUCCUCACUAUUUUAGUGAAUAAGAUUGCUGUAACAUCUGAAUUUGUGAAUGUAUCCCUAAUGAAACACAUGAAUUUACCUUGGAUUGUUGUAAUCUAUUUUACAUCUAGAGCCAAUUUAUGAACUGAGACUGUAACAUUAUCUGUUUGGCCACGGUUACGUAGGAUUUAGGGAGACCAAUACCAUAGUUAGACCAAUAAAAAUGUUCUGAAGCUAACCUAUGUUUAUCUGCUAGGCAUUCCAGUAGUUUCUUUUAUCUCUGUAUCUGUAGAAGGUCAGCAUCUCUUAUCUCACUGUAAACUUCAAUCUAUUGCUGGCAUAUAGGCUUACAGAGCAAGACUUCCCGUGCUCAGCUGCUCUGCAAACUCAAUUCCUAAGAGCAAAAGGUUGCUGAGUUAGUUUCUUGAUCUUCUUGGUAUGGAGAAUUCCUCUAAAGUGUGAACCCUCUGAAGUGGGGAAUGGUAAAAUGAAGAGAGAAUGAAGGAUAUAUACUCAGGGAUUGCCAUGCUCCCUAGAAGAAUAACAAAUAUAGAAGAAUGUGCCAUCACAGAGGUGCUGAAACAGGAACAUCCUUUUUUUAGGUCUUCAUCUUAUGUAGUUCAAAGCCUAUUUUCCCCAUCACUAACUUACUCUGCAAAUCUUUCUCUUCCUCAAAUUCAAGGCUUCUUGCACCUCAGCAAUUUGUAAAUGCAGUAUAAUCGUAUCUCAACAAACAGGUCCAUGUUACAGGGACUCAUUUUGGUCUUGGAUACUGUGGGUACUUUUCAUAUAAAAAGCUGUCUAUCACAUCCUGUGAAUCUUUUUGAAUGUUGCCAGGGUGGACUGGAAAAGCUAGGUAGAAGAAGGGCCCGAUUAGCUAGAGCUGAAGUCCAUGAUGUCUUGGAUGUUGUGCAACUAUAUCAUGAGAUUGUACAUUUUGACAAUGUUAGGGGCACAUAUUUAAGCCUGGAGAAUUCACCAUCAUUCUGGCAGCUGUACAGCAUGAGAAGACCAUGUGUGCUUUGUGUAUUUCUCCUUUUGUGUGAUAUAAAAGAAUCUUUGAUUAGUAUCAGAAACCUAUGGAGUUGUUGGAGGUAAUCACGUGCUGAGGAGCCUGAACACAUCCCUGUGUGCUGACUGAUUCUGUGAUCAUACUUGAGGGUGCACCACACUGCUGACUUUGUGCUGUUUCUCCCUUGUGCCCUGGUAUAGCUGUUUUCUACAUACUCUGCACCAGCAGCU